rnacentral:rRNA from 1 species
GGCUUCGGCCUGGGGCAAAGCCGCGAACGGGUGAGUAACACGUGGGUAACCUGCCCCGAAGACUGGGACAACCCGGGGAAACCCGGGCUAAUACCGGAUGUGGUCACCGUCCACAAGGACAGUGAGCAAAGGAAGCUUCGGCCUCCGCUUCGGGAUGGGCCCGCGGCCCAUUAGCUUGUUGGUGAGGUAACGGCUCACCAAGGCUUCGAUGGGUAGCUGGUCUGAGAGGACGAUCAGCCACACUGGGACUGAGACACGGCCCAGACUCCUACGGGAGGCAGCAGUGGGGAAUCUUGCGCAAUGCACGACAGUGUGACGCAGCAACGCCGCGUGGGGGAAGAAGGCCUUCGGGUUGUAAACCUCUUUCAGGAGGGACGAAGCUCCGGUCGCGAAUAGCGGUCCGGAGUGACGGUACCUCCACAAGAAGCCCCGGCUAACUACGUGCCAGCAGCCGCGGUAAUACGUAGGGGGCUAGCGUUGUCCGGAAUCAUUGGGCGUAAAGCGCGCGUAGGCGGCCAGAUAAGUCCGGUGUGAAAGUCACAGGCUCAACCUGUGAAUGCCGCUGGAAACUGUCUGGCUAGAGUCCGGAAGGGGCGAGUGGAAUUCCUGGUGUAGCGGUGAAAUGCGCAGAUAUCAGGAGGAACACCAAUGGCGAA